UUAAUGUUGAUUUAGGAAUAUUUAUGAGAAUAAGAGUUAUAAUUAUUGUGUUCGUGUUGUUGAUUUAUGGAUAGAAGUUUGAAGAGAGUUUUGGAUGAAAAUAUACAUAUUUGUCUUGUAGAAUCUUGAUGAUAUUGUUGUUGAUGUUGUUGGUAUUGUUUGGGAGUUGUUUUGGUAUUUGGAGGAAGUGAAUAAUAUAGGGGAGAUGCUGCCCAAAUUUUCGUAACCCAAAUUAGUCUUCAAUGAGUAAUGCUUACAAGUUGAUGGAAAUAUAAUGGAAGUAUGAUUUAAGAUGUAUUUCUCGAUGUAUAUGUUCGGGUGAAGGGCAAGCAUCGGAGUAAGGGAUUCUUUAAGUGGUGGCUUGACGGAUAAGCCUUACAUACUCAGUACUUUUAUCCGUACUGACGUCCCAUUGCACGGGACGCUGCAUUUCGUGCUGCAGGCGCUGACAGGGUUAUUGAGGAGCGACCGCAGUAGGAUUUUCCAGCUUCAGCGGUGUUAGCAAGUGCCACUUCUCCGGACUUGCUGUCUUUUGGCAUUUUUCUGCCAGUGUAGUAUAUGUUCAUAUGUACACUCUUAGAGGCUCAUAGACAUAGUGGGGUAUGUACAUAUUGUGUAUGGUCACGUUAGCCUUGUCUUGAUCUGUGAUACUUUCCUGUUAGCCUUGCCGGCUUUAUGAUACUCGUGAUGUUGUGGCGACCUUGUCGAUUCGCUUAUGUACAGAUAUGUUGGAUUAUUGGAUAUUUCUAUGUUGGGCCUUU